rnacentral:rRNA from 1 species
GAGUUUGAUCAUGGCUCAGGAUGAACGCUAGCUACAGGCUUAACACAUGCAAGUCGAGCGGUUUGUGUUUUUGCACAUUCAGCGGCAGACGGGUGAGUAACACGUAUCUAACCUUCCCCUUACUUGGGCAUAGCCUCUGGAAACGGAGAUUAAUUUCCGAUGUGGUGUACAUUUCGCAUGUUUUGCGCACCAAAGAUUUAUCGGUAAGGGAUGGGGAUGCGCUCCAUUAGGUAGUAGGUAGGGUAAUGGCCUACCUAGCCUAUGAUGGAUAGGGGUUCUGAGAGGAAGGUCCCCCACAUUGGAACUGCGACACGGUCCAAACUCCUACGGGAGGCAGCAGUGAGGAAUAUUGGUCAAUGGCCGGAAGGCUGAACCAGCCAAGUAGCGUGCAGGAUGACUGCCUUAUGGGUUGUAAACUGCUUUUUUACGGGAAUAAUUAUGAUCACGUGUGAUUAUUUGCAUGUACCGUAAGAAUAAGGAUCGGCUAACUCCGUGCCAGCAGCCGCGGUAAUACGGAGGAUCCUAGUGUUAUCCGGAUUUAUUGGGUUUAAAGGGAGCGUAGGCGGGAGGUCAAGUCAGCUGUGAAAUGUAUCUGCUUAACGGGUACACUGCAGUUGAAACUGGUUUUCUUGAGUGCGUAAGAGGCAGGC